UCCGAACUGAGACCGGCUUUUUGGGAUUCGCUCCACCUUACGGUAUCGCAGCCCUCUGUACCGGCCAUUGUAGCAUGCGUGAAGCCCAAGACAUAAGGGGCAUGAUGAUUUGACGUCAUCCCCACCUUCCUCCGAGUUGACCCCGGCAGUCUCCCAUGAGUCCCCGGCAUAACCCGCUGGCAACAUAGGACGAGGGUUGCGCUCGUUGCGGGACUUAACCCAACAUCUCACGACACGAGCUGACGACAACCAUGCACCACCUGUGUACGAGUGUCCAAAGAGAACCCCGUCUCGGGGGCUUUCUCGUACAUGUCAAGCCUUGGUAAGGUUCUUCGCGUUGCAUCGAAUUAAUCCGCAUGCUCCGCCGCUUGUGCGGGCCCCCGUCAAUUCCUUUGAGUUUUAGCCUUGCGGCCGUACCCCCCAGGCGGGGCACUUAAUGCGUUAGCUGCGGCACGGAACUCGUGGAAUGAGCCCCACACCUAGUGCCCAACGUUUACGGCAUGGACUACCAGGGUAUCUAAUCCUGUUCGCUCCCCAUGCUUUCGCUCCUCAGCGUCAGUUGCGGCCCAGAGACCUGCCUUCGCCAUCGGUGUUCCUCCUGAUAUCUGCGCAUUCCACCGCUACACCAGGAAUUCCAGUCUCCCCUACCGCACUCUAGUCUGCCCGUACCCGAUGCAAGCCCGAGGUUGAGCCUCGGGAUUUCACACCAGACGCGACAGACCGCCUACGAGCUCUUUACGCCCAAUAAUUCCGGACAACGCUUGCGCCCUACGUAUUACCGCGGCUGCUGGCACGUAGUUAGCCGGCGCUUCUUCUGCAGGUACCGUCACUUGCGCUUCUUCCCUGCUGAAAGAGGUUUACAACCCGAAGGCCGUCAUCCCUCACGCGGCGUCGCUGCAUCAGGCUUGCGCCCAUUGUGCAAUAUUCCCCACUGCUGCCUCCCGUAGGAGUCCGGGCCGUGUCUCAGUCCCAGUGUGGCCGGUCGCCCUCUCAGGCCGGCUACCCGUCGACGCCUUGGUAGGCCAUCACCCCACCAACAAGCUGAUAGGCCGCGAGCCCAUCCCCCACCGAAAAACUUUCCAACCCACACCAUGCGAUGCGAGCUCAUAUCCGGUAUUAGACCCCGUUUCCAAGGCUUAUCCCGAAGUGGAGGGCAGGUUGCUCACGUGUUACUCACCCGUUCGCCACUGAUCCACCCAGCAAGCUGGGCUUCAC
rnacentral:rRNA from 1 species